AGGACGAACGCUGGCGGCGUGCCUAACACAUGCAAGUCGAACGGGACCAGGGGCAACUCUGGUUCAGUGGCGGACGGGUGCGUAACACGUGAGGAACAUGACCUUCGGCGGGGGAUAGCCGGCCCAACGGCCGGGUAAUACCGCGUACGACCACAUGGGGACAUCCCUGAGUGGUGAAAGCAGCAAUGCGCCGAUGGGAGUGCCUCGCGGCCUAAUCAGCUAGUUGGUGAGGUAACGGCUCACCAAGGCAACGACGGGUA
rnacentral:rRNA from 1 species